rnacentral:rRNA from 1 species
CACGGAGUUAGCCGGAGCUUAUUCUCCCGAUACUGUCAUUAUCAUCUCGGGUAAAAGAGCUUCACAACCCUAAGGCCUUCAUCACUCACGCGGCAUUGCUGGAUCAGGCUUUCGCCCAUUGUCCAAUAUUCCCCA